GUGGGGAAUUUUGGACAAUGGGCGCAAGCCUGAUCCAGCAAUGCCGCGUGCAGGAAGAAGGCCUUCGGGUUGUAAACUGCUUUUGUACGGAACGAAACGGUCCUGGCUAAUAUCCGGGGCUAAUGACGGUACCGUAAGAAUAAGCACCGGCUAACUACGUGCCAGCAGCCGCGGUAAUACGUAGGGUGCGAGCGUUAAUCGGAAUUACUGGGCGUAAAGCGUGCGCAGGCGGUGCUGUAAGACAGGCGUGAAAUCCCCGGGCGCAAACUGGGAAUUGCGCUUGUGACUGCAGUGCUGGAGUGCGGCAGAGGGGGAUGGAAUUCCGCGUGUAGCAGUGAAAUGCGUAGAUAUGCGGAGGAACACCGAUGGCGAAGGCAAUCCCCUGGGCCUGCACUGACGCUCAUGCACGAAAGCGUGGGGAGCAAACAGGAUUAGAAACCCCUGUAGUCC
rnacentral:rRNA from 1 species